rnacentral:rRNA from 1 species
UACGUAGGGUGCAAGCGUUAAUCGGAAUUACUGGGCGUAAAGCGUGCGCAGGAGGUUGUGCAAGACAGAUGUGAAAUCCCCGGGCUUAACCUGGGAAUUGCAUUUGUGACUGUACGGCUAGAGUGUGUCAGAGGGGGGUAGAAUUCCACGUGUAGCAGUGAAAUGCGUAGAGAUGUGGAGGAAUACCGAUGGCGAAGGCAGCCCCCUGGGAUAACACUGACGCUCAUGCACGAAAGCGUGGGGAGCAAACAGG